UACGUAGGGGGCAAGCGUUAUCCGGAUUUACUGGGUGUAAAGGGAGCGCAGACGGCAUGGCAAGUCUGAUGUGAAAGCCCGCGGCUCAACUGCGGGACUGCAUUGGAAACUGCCGCGCUGGAGUAUCGGAGAGGUAAGCGGAAUUCCUGGUGUAGCGGUGAAAUGCGUAGAUAUCAGGAGGAACACCGGUGGCGAAGGCGGCUUACUGGACGACAACUGACGUUGAGGCUCUAAAGCGUGGGGAG
rnacentral:rRNA from 1 species